UACGGAGGGUGCUAGCGUUAUCCGGAUUUACUGGGCGUAAAGGGUGCGUAGGUGGUCUUUCAAGUCGGUGGUUAAAGGUUGAGGCUCAACCGGAGUAAGCCGCCGAAACUGGAAGACUUGAGUGCAGGAGAGGAAAGGGGAAUUCUCAGUGUAGCGGUGAAAUGCGUAGAUAUUGAGAAGAACACCAGUAGCGAAGGCGGCUUUCUGGACUAGAACUGACACUGAGGCACGAAAGCGUGGGUAGCAAAAAGG
rnacentral:rRNA from 1 species